AAAGAUGUAAAUUCAGGUGCUAAUUCUUCAAGACAAUCUUCCAUCUUCUCAGGCUCUGAAUGGUUGCCCAAAAACAGGAAUGGAGAUUUGGACUCCUCUGGUGGUCAGCUAGAAGGAAAAGGAUCUACUGGUCAGGACAUGCAAACACAUCCUUCCACCAAUGGUAAUGGUAAUGGUAAUGGCCAUGGACUGUCAUCAAUA
rnacentral:misc_RNA from 1 species